rnacentral:lncRNA from 1 species
UCAACAGAAAAAUCAAAUUCUGUAAAAUAUUUAAAGAGGUUUAUUCUGAGCCAGCAUGAGUGACCACGGCCUGGAGAACAGUCUCAAGAGGCCCUGAGAAAGUGUGCCCCAGGCGGCUGGGUUACUUUGGCUUUAUAAAUUUUAGGGAGACAGAAGUUACAGGCCACCCCACUGACCCACCCCUAGCAAUGAUGGAUGUGGCAGCUUUGAGCAUCUUCACCCAGCAAUUUCUCUGUGCCAGGCCCAGCUCUCAGGCCUGAGGAUGAAGAUGAAAAAGACACAGCUCUUACAACUGGUGACCUUAGGACCUGUGCACAGGUUUUGGAGGAAACACAAUGAUCAGAGUGGGAAGCAGAGCGAGAGAUCUUGACAGAUCUUUAGGACCACAUGACAGUAUCUAGACCGCACCCUCUGUUAAAACACUUGACAUUGAGUUUUACUUUGCUGUUUGUGGCUCCCUGCUUUUAGGGCUAUUCUUUCUAUACAUAUGCCCAGUUUACCCCU